rnacentral:snRNA from 1 species
GUGCUCACCUCAGCAGCAUAUAUACUAAAAUUGGAAUGAUACAGAGAAGAUUGGCAUGGCCCCUGGCCAAGCAUGACAUGCAAAUUCAUGAAGUGUUUCAUAUUUAU